rnacentral:rRNA from 1 species
AUUGAACGCUGGCGGCAUGCUUUACACAUGCAAGUCGAGCGGUAAGGUUUCGGACCCUAGAGCGGCGAACGGGUGAGUAACGCGUACGAAACCUACCUUUAAGAGAGGGAUAGCCCUGGGAAACUGGGAGUAAUACCUCAUAGUAUUCAAUAACCGCAUGGUUUAUGGAUUAAAGCUGCGGCGCUUAAAGAUGGUCGUGCGUCUGAUUAGCUAGUUGGUAGGGUAACGGCCUACCAAGGCUACGAUCAGUAGGGGGCGUGAGAGCGUGGCCCCCCACACGGGUACUGAGACACGGACCCGACUCCUACGGGAGGCAGCAGUAAGGAAUAUUGGGCAAUGGACGGAAGUCUGACCCAGCCAUCCCGCGUGCAGGACGAAUGCCCUAUGGGUUGUAAACUGCUUUUGUUUGGGAAGAAAUGUAUUCUUUUAAGAGUAUUUGACGGUACCAGACGAAUAAGCACCGGCUAACUCCGUG